rnacentral:miRNA from 1 species
UGUGUGUGUGUGUAUGUAUGUAUAUGUAUGUAUGUAUAUAUAUAUACAUAUACAUAUACACACACACACACACACACU